AUUUAAAGCUGUUCCACAUUCUGCCACACUGAUGUAGUUCAGGCAGAGGCUGUAAGCUCCUAACCCAAAUCACUGGCUCGAAACAGCUUGAUGCGCAGCGAUGGCAGGUCGUACAAGAGCUCCACGCGAAACCUUUUCUGAAAGCGGUCAACAAAGCUAUUCUCCGGGUCAAGACGAAACCUCAUGGCCCAAAGAAUCACGGUCUGGUCCUGACACAGAUCGAGACCAUGCAGACUGCAGGAGAUUGACUGCAGCAGCUGUGCUGGCCUGAUUGGAUGGACCUGGCCUUGUGCUGGCCUGAUUGGAUGGACCUGGCCCUGUGCUUUCCUUUUAAGUUGGUCAGCGGCACAUUGAGGGAGGUCUUCACUUAAAAACUACCCUUAGAGUGAAGAACAUCAACACGUCAAACAUGAAACCCCUGCAAAGAUAAAAAUAAACAUACUCUGCCCAUGUGCGAUAAAUAUGAUCCAAAAUCAAGAGGAAGUGUCCUGGCUGAUAUGGUCUAAAAGCAGAAGGAGAAAGGGGAGGAGUCAUUGACAGUGCAUGGAAAUUUUCAUUGUGCAAAACUGACUUAAUGUACUGCAGAGAUCUCCCACCUUGGUUCUGGUGAGACCCGAACUAAGAAACCCAUCUGUUGACUAUCAGUGAAACCAGUUGCUUAUUUUAGAGAACCAAGGUAAUGUUUAAAUAGCGUACAUUCAAUUAUAUGGGUCAUUUAUUAGCUUAUUGUUACCCAGAUCAUUCACUUUGGUCAUUGUCUGCUAUUUUGAUGCAUGAGUCCUUGAUAAGUUUGACUCGCUCCUCAUUGCCAGUUUAGCUUAAAUGAUUCUGCUGAAUUACGUCUGUUUCUGCAGUAACCAGGCCAGGGGAACACUGCUGUCAGGUGUAGCAAGAAAAAGCAAGGAUAUCGUGUGUUUCUUUUAUCUUGAAUUAUUUGAUUCUUCUGGUUUACAUGUUAUUUUUUAACUUUUUCAAUAAAGACCACCUUGGUGCAUCAUGUACGUA